rnacentral:rRNA from 1 species
GACGAACGCUGGCGGCGUGCCUAACACAUGCAAGUCGAACGGGACCAGGGGCAACUCUGGUUCAGUGGCGGACGGGUGCGUAACACGUGAGGAACAUGACCUUCGGCGGGGGAGUAGCCGGCCCGAACCGGCCGGGUAAGUACCGCGUACGACCUUUCGGGGUACGAUCCCUGGAUGGUGAAAGCAGCAAUGCGCCGAUGGAGUGCCUCGCGGCCUAUCAGCUAGUUGGUGAGGUAACGGCUCACCAAGGCGACGACGGGUA